rnacentral:rRNA from 1 species
AUUGAACGCUGGCGGCAUGCCUAACACAUGCAAGUCGAGCGAGGUGUAGCAAUACAUCUAGCGGCGGACGGGUGAGGAAUACAUAGGAAUUUGCCUUUAAGUGGGGGAUAGCCCGGGGAAACUCGGAGUAAUACCGCAUGACGUCGAAAGACCAAAGCAGGGGACCGCAAGGCCUUGCGCUUUUAGAGAAGCCUAUGUCGGAUUAGCUAGUUGGUGAGGUAAUGGCUCACCAAGGCAACGAUCCGUAGCUGGUUUGAGAGAACGAUCAGCCACACCGGAACUGAGACACGGUCCGGACUCCUACGGGAGGCAGCAGUGGGGAAUAUUGGACAAUGGGCGAAAGCCUGAUCCAGCAAUGCCGCGUGUGUGAAGAAGGCCU